rnacentral:rRNA from 1 species
UACGUAGGGUGCAAGCGUUAUCCGGAAUUAUUGGGCGUAAAGAGCUCGUAGGCGGUUUGUCGCGUCUGCUGUGAAAACUGGAGGCUCAACCUCCAGCCUGCAGUGGGUACGGGCAGACUAGAGUGCGGUAGGGGAGAUUGGAAUUCCUGGUGUAGCGGUGAAAUGCGCAGAUAUCAGGAAGAACACCUAUUGCGAAGGCAGCUCGCUGGGACGUCACUGACGCUGAGGCGCGAAAGCGUGGGGAGCAAACAGG